AAAUAAACAUUAUUUGUUUGCUUCAAACAAAAUAAACAUUAAAAUAAAUAAACAUCAAAAACAAAUAAACAUUAAAAAAAAUUUUUUUUUUACAGAGUCACCCAAAAGGAGGGGAAAUGUGGCCCAAGGGAAGUCAGAGUAGAAAGAGGCAGCGAUCUUAAGCAGUCAAGGUCAGAGUAUCUUACCACCGCCAAGUUUACAAAAGCCAAUGGCCGGGAAUGCGUUGCUGGGGCUCCUGCCUGGGUGAGAGGCCUGGAGCUUCCUUUUCAUCAGCUUCACGCUAGGACCUAUACCCCCGCCUCGUAGAACAGAUCGCGUGUGUCCCCCUUGUAAAGGUCAAGGAGUUCGCGCUUUCUUUGCAGUCUUCCAGCACAAGAGGUCAGAUCAGAGGAGCGACCAGAGGAACGUCUUCCUUCCCUCCUGGUCCGUGUGAAGGUGUUCCAAGACCCACUGACUCACCAAGACCCCUGGCUCUCUCUCCAGCUCCUUCCCUCCCAGCGCUCAUCGGCAGAGACUGGAACCCCGGUGUGGUACCUCGAACCCGUUUGAGACCGACUCCAUUCCUGGAAGGAAGAUCUGAUAUCCUUCCCCUGAUGAGUUGCAAAGCGUUUUGGAGCCAAUCCUCUCUCCCCGGAGCUUGCAGACCUUCCAGUGGUUUCCAGUGGACCCUGUGGGCCGUAGAUGCAAACAGCCAAGGUGCCUGUUCCCUGCCAUUAGCUCAGGUCAAGGUGUCAUUUAGAUGGCUUCUCAGGCUGGCUCGGUUCUCCCGCCUCCGAGCCCAGAGGUGCGGGUUGGGGACACAGGACGGGUGUGAUCAGAGUUCAGGCGAUACUUUCUCCCAUCUUAAGGUACAGCCUCUUCCUUUAAAGCCACGCUUCAGUGCCACCCACAGCCUUUGCCGACCAUGACAUAAGCCAACUGUUUUAAAAUUUUGGCAAUGCUCAUGGCGUCGGAAGCCAAGCCUUAAACAGAGAGGCAUCAUGACACAGCGGAAGGAGCAUGGGAUUUGGAGACAGAAGGUCUCCAAAAUUGACUCCUUGUCCCUAUUGACUCCUUGUGUGACCCUGGACGCAUUUCUUAACCUUUUCUUGCCUCAGUGCCUUCACCUGUGAAAAGAGAAAACUCUGCACCGGAGGCUUGUGAGGAUUUAGUAUUAAGUGCUUGGUACGUAGUGUCGAACGGCAGCCGUUAGUAACAUUUAUAGUGGGGAGCACGGAGGAGGGUGACAGGCCCAUGGCUCAUUUGCCUGUACUUCUAAACACGUGUACCGUCUCCGUAAAUGUAUGGUCUUAGUGGGACAGAGACUGUAUUUAGAAAUUCUAUUCAUUUGCCCUUUCACAUCCUGUCUAGAAUAAGGCAAGGUAUAAACAUUAUUUUUUAUGUUGCACACUCACUGAGUAAAGCGAGCUCUUCCCCUGUUCGGUGCUGGAGAGAGAUCUGAGCA